rnacentral:rRNA from 1 species
UGUUAGUAGCAAGGUUAACCGCAUAGGGGAGCCGUAGGGAAACCGAGUCUUAACUGGGCGUAUAGUUGCUAGCAUUAGACCCGAAACCGAGUGAUCUAGCCAUGGGCAGGUUGAAGGUUGAGUAACAUCAACUGGAGGACCGAACCGACUAAUGUUGAAAAAUUAGCGGAUGACUUGUGGCUAGGGGUGAAAGGCCAAUCAAACUCGGAGAUAGCUGGUUCUCCCCGAAAGCUAUUUAGGUAGCGCCUCGGACGAAUACUACUGGGGGUAGAGCACUGUUAAGGCUAGGGGGUCAUCCCGACUUACCAACCCUUUGCAAACUCCGAAUACCAGUAAGUACUAUCCGGGAGACACACGGCGGGUGCUAACGUCCGUCGUGGAGAGGGAAACAACCCAGACCGCCAGCUAAGGUCCCAAAGUAUUGCUAAGUGGGAAACGAUGUGGGAAGGCUCAGACAGCUAGGAUGUUGGCUUAGAAGCAGCCAUCAUUUAAAGAAAGCGUAAUAGCUCACUAGUCGAGUCGGCCUGCGCGGAAGAUGUAACGGGGCUAAGCA